rnacentral:rRNA from 1 species
AGAACGAACGCUGGCGGCAUGCCUAACACAUGCAAGUCGAACGCUCUUGAGGCUUCGGUUUCAAGGGAGUGGCGCACGGGUGAGUAGCGCGUGGGAACCUGCCCUGUUGUGGGGGAUAACCGAGGGAAACUUCGGCUAAUACCGCAUGCGCCCGGGGAAACCCGGGGAAAGAUUUAUCGCAGCAGGAGGGGCCCGCGUCGGAUUAGGUAGUUGGUAGGGUAACGGCCUACCAAGCCUUUGAUCCGUAGUUGGUCUGAGAGGAUGAUCAGCCACACUGGGACUGAGACACGGCCCAGACUCCUACGGGAGGCAGCAGUGGGAAUAUUGGACAAUGGGCGCAAGCCUGAUCCAGCAAUGCCGCGUGAGUGAUGAAGGCCUUAGGGUUGUAAAGCUCUUUCGCCCGCGACGAUGAUGACGGUAGCGGGAGAAGAACGCCCCGGCUAACUCGCGCCAGCAGCCGC